ACGAAGGGGGCUAGCGUUGUUCGGAAUUACUGGGCGUAAAGGGCGCGUAGGCUGUGCUGUAAGUCAGGCGUGAAAUCCCCGGGCUCAACCUGGGAAUGGCAAUGGAAACUGGCGAGCUAGAGUACGGUAGAGGAGAGUGGAAUUCCCGGUGUAGCAGUGAAAUGCGUAGAGAUCGGGAGGAACAUCAGUUGCGAAGGCGGCUCUCUGGACCAGUACUGACGCUGAGGCACGAAAGCGUGGGGAGCAAACAGGA
rnacentral:rRNA from 1 species